rnacentral:rRNA from 1 species
UACGUAGGGUCCGAGCGUUGUCCGGAAUUACUGGGCGUAAAGAGCUCGUAGGUGGUUUGUCGCGUUGUUCGUGAAAACUCACAGCUUAACUGUGGGCGUGCGGGCGAUACGGGCAGACUGGAGUACUGCAGGGGAGACUGGAAUUCCUGGUGUAGCGGUGGAAUGCGCAGAUAUCAGGAGGAACACCGGUGGCGAAGGCGGAUCUCUGGGCCGAUACUGACGCUGAGGAGCGAAAGCGUGGGGAGCGAACAGG